GAUGAACGCUGGCGGCGUGCUUAACACAUGCAAGUCGAACGAAGCACUUUAUUUGAUUUCCUUCGGGACUGAUUAUUUUGUGACUGAGUGGCGGACGGGUGAGUAACGCGUGGGUAACCUGCCUUGUACAGGGGGAUAACAGUUGGAAACGGCUGCUAAUACCGCAUAAGCGCACGGCAUCGCAUGAUGCAGUGUGAAAAACUCCGGUGGUAUAAGAUGGACCCGCGUUGGAUUAGCUAGUUGGUGAGGUAACGGCCCACCAAGGCGACGAUCCAUAGCCGACCUGAGAGGGUGACCGGCCACAUUGGGACUGAGACACGGCCAAAACUCCUACGGGAGGAAGCAGUGGGGAAUAUUGCACAAUGGGCGAAAGCCUGAUGCAGCGACGCCGCGUGAGCGAAGAAGUAUUUCGGUAUGUAAAGCUCUAUCAGCAGGGAAGAUAAUGACGGUACCUGACUAAGAAGCACCGGCUAAAUACGUG
rnacentral:rRNA from 1 species